GCUCACUCACUAUAAGUGGUAUAGUAAAUGGAUGGCUAGUCCUCCAAAAGAAUACUUUAAAGUGUUUUUCUUGUAAGGCGUUUCAUUUGUUGUUGUUGUUGCUUUGGUCUUGCAGUGCAUGUGUUGGGGAAUGUUGCCACGCCGGUUUGUCACUGACUACUUUAAUUCCGCCAGGUCGGCCCACCGGCAUGGCGUUUGUUGUGUCGCAGUGGAGGAUUACAGGCGCCGUAUGACUGCAAGUGAGCGACACCGCCCUUCUUGGUCGCGGUUAGUGUUUGUUUAUUUAUUCAUUUAUUUUCAUAUUAUGUUGGGAUGCUUGCUCAUGCAGAAUGAAUGAUCAGUUUUCUUUUUAUGCUUUUCUCUGUGCAAUUGGGAAGAUUGAUGUACAAUCCCUUGUUUAUCCUGGGAGUUACGUUCCAUAUACCCCUGUGUUUGACGAAAAUCCACGAAGAAGCGACCAUAUAUUUGUUAUUUUAUUUGUAUAAAAAUUUUAAAGCUUUAUGCACAAUACCCAGACAAAACAUGCACGUGAGAUGCAGGUAUUAUUUUUGUCCACUUGGCAUCACCACCAUCAAGUUCUACAUUAGUGACUCCCAACCUUUUAUUUUUUACAUUUGAAAACUCUCAUGGCACACCACCAAACAAAAAUGUAGCAAAAUGUGGAUACGCAAGUCAUGUACUGUAUGUAUAUUCUGCGAUUCAAAAAAAGAGCAUUUAUUUGUUCUGUUUGUCACUAUAUGUUGCUGACAUCGAUAGAUCAAUAAAAAUACAUUAUUUGUUACAAAUAAAAAAAAUUCUGACCCAUUCAGUUAUGUUAAUGUUAUGUUCCCACAGAACACCUGAAGAGCUCUCACAGCACACUGGUUGCACAGUAGUAUCUGUGACUUUGAAUGUGCGUGCCUUUAAAAGGCGGGGCCUGUCCUGGCGAGUGAUGUGAAAGUCAGCGAAUGAGAGUGUCGAGUUGGCUGUUGUUGCAAGAAAGCGGCUUGCUGUCAACUGGCUAACCGUUAGCCAGUCUGCAUGUUGAGUUACUCAGCGUUAGUUGUUGCCAUUGGCAGCUACACUGAAAAAUUUAUAUAUAAAAAAGCCGUCACUCAUUCAAUUUAUUUUCUGUAAAUUCAAAUUGUUAAAAUUUUAUCGUUUGUGUUUUAAAUAUAUUUUUUCCUUUACUGUAAAUUUACAGCUUGGCACCAAACUGAAAUAUUUCAUUUCGACCAAAGGAUUUUCUCAAAUUGAAUGUGACAUUUAAACAUGUAUUGUCCUCGAAGUUUUGAUGUUUUUUAUUCUCUUCUGCUUCAAGUUGUGUUCAGGUUUUAUUGACGUUCUGAAAACGUUUUUGGGGGUUCGGUUAAAGUUUUCUUGAAAUUUUAUUAAAGUUUCGGAGAAGUUGUGGGGAAGUUUUGUUGGCGUUUUUCGAGGCUGUAGAGAAGUUCCAAAGAAAUUAAUUGCUGUUUCGAGGAUAUAGGUGGCUUUACUUAUGGAGAGAAGUCUUCCAUUAUUAUGUGAAGAUUAGUCUUAAUUUAAAAUAUACAUCCAUCCAGCCAUCCAUUUUUCUGAGCCGCUUAUCCUCACUAGGGUCGCGGGAGUGCUGGAACCUAUCCCAGCUAUCAUUGGGCAGGAGGCGGGGUACAUCCUGAACUGGUCGCCAGCUAAUCACAGGGCACACAUAAACAAACAACCAUUCACACUCACAUACACACCUGCGGGCAAUUUAGAGUCUUCAAUCAACGUACCACGCAUGUUUUUGGGAUGUGGUAGGAAACCGGAGUGCCCGGAGAAAACCCACGCAGGCACGGGGAGAACAUGCAAACUCCACCCAGGCGGGGCCGGGGAUUCAACCCCGGUCCUCAGAACUGUGAGGCAGACGCUCUAACCAGUCGUCCACCGUGCCACCUUAAUUUAAGAUAUAAUUUAUUUAAAUAACACCAAUAAUUAAUGUAUUAUGUGCAAAAAUUAACACAUUUUGAUGUUAUAUUUCUUACUUCACCGUGUACCUCUCCCUGCUGGAGUCAGUUAUUCUAAAUUUUUACUAGAGACUAGUAGCAUACAAAUAUUCUGUAUAAAUCUGCUGAGUAUUAAACAAUUAUGAAUGUAAGGGUACUGAAUUAAUUGGGUUAGUCAGAGAUGUCCUAUAAUUUAUUUAUGAAUAAAUUAAAAGAAGUGCCCUUUUUCCUCAAUUGAACCCCUGCCCCCCCAAAAUGUCUGUGCACAGCCCUGGUCUUGAGAGAUUCUCAGUAAGUUUCUUCAAACCUACUAGUUUAGGUUCUAGAGCGUUUUUCUUAAUUUUUGUUCUUGAAGUUCUGCCAGAAUUUUUGUUAAAGUUUUGUUGAGGUUCUGUUGAGCUUGUGUAUAAGUACCUUUAGUUGUGACCACAGAUUAUUUUCUAUCUGUAGAUGUUGAAAAGGUUUUUUGUUGGGUUCACUUCUCUUCUUCUUGUGUUUAUUUGUGUCCAUGUUUGUCCAUGCUCGCAGGCACCCAUCCUGUCUUCAUGUCACAUUCCUGCGUGACACCUCACUCAUACUGUAUGUCACAUUUCUUUUUCUUAUUCUGUGCAUGUGAGCUCUUCACCCUGCACACAACCAUUCUGGGAGGAGGGGGGGCUAGCAGUCCUGCGGCCAUUUUGGAUUUGACCUGCUCAAAUAGCGCUGUGACGGCGACACAAAGAACGGAAAAAGAAAAGGAUGUGAAAUGGAAGAUGUGUCAUACAUGGUCCUAUGACAUGAUAUUGCAUCGGUGUGAAAAGUCAGGGGAGGAUCAACAUAGCCACCGAAUCAUCGCUAGGUCAUAAGAUCCGAGCCCGACAAAAAUAACCAUCCAGGGUUGACUGACACCAAACAACCAAACUCCCAGUGGACCAUCUGUUCAACAACUUGACUCAUCCGAGGGGAGCCCCCGUGCCUUUUUGUGACCCUUGUUCCAAAAGAAGGAGCAACCUGGUCACCAGUCAGGGCACAUCAAGAUCAACAAUGGACCGGUCGACAGCCAAUGUCGGGGUACAUGUUGACAAACAGCACACUGGUCGCCAGUCAAUGGCAUGUCGCAGAAACAAACAGUGGACUGGUCGCCAGUCAGUAGCAGGAUACAGAGGCAGUGGACUCGUCACCAUUUUGCCCAUACUGUACCUGCACGCGGGACUCAGGCAGGUUGAUCUUGAGUGCCACCUCCUCACGCAUGAAGAUGUCUGGGUAGCGCGUCUUGGCGAACAAACUCUCCAAGAUGUCCAGCUGCGUGCGCGUAAAGUUGUUGCAGCCGUGAGGCAUGCAUGCGGGGUACCGUAAGUACCGGGGAAGCCAACCGAGGGGUGCAACAGGUCCAUGGCGGCCCCGCUCAGGCCCUGCAGGCGGUUCAUGCAGGCGUACGGGCCCUGCUUGAGAUGAUUGACGCGGGUCUCCACGGCUCGCGCUCUAAAGAGUCAAGCAAGCGUCGGGCUGUCCAGCUUUCAGCCAAUCACAGCCUCCCUUGGCGACCCCUAUGUCCAAUCAGAUCGCCAGAUUGGCCAAUAAUUUCCGCCCACUGGUCACUAAGGGACGAGGAGACGUGAGGGGAAAAGUUUACCUCGGGAAGAC